GCUUCCCCUCCAGACCCUUCACCAUCCUUGUGGCCCUCGUUUGAAUGCUUUCUGAGAGCUUAAUGCCUUUUUUAUAUUGUGGCACCCAAAACUGCACAAGGCACCUGAGGGAACACAAGUUUGGCAAGAUGAGAUCGACUGAAUAUGAUGCAGUGAAAAAAGAGACUGCCAGUGCUUGAGGAAGGGAAUUCAAGGCAUUGUAGCUUGAAAUCAGAGCCAUGUGGAAAUCAUCAAAUAGCUGAUAAGGAACAACACUGUGAUGAAGGCGGCUAAAACAGUUAAUAGAGAGUCAACAGGAACGGAAGAAUGAGGAGGUGAUUUUUGUUUGUAUGUGGCAUUAUUGAGACUGAUAUGGGAAGGCUGCAUCCUCUUGACAGUAUUU